rnacentral:rRNA from 1 species
AACGAACGCUGGCGGCAUGCCUAACAUAUGCAAGUCGAACGAGACCUUCGGGUCUAGUGGCGCACGGGUGCGUAACGCGUGGGAACCUGCCCUUAGGUUCGGAAUAACUCCCCGAAAGGGGUGCUAAUACCGGAUAAUGUCUUCGGACCAAAGAUUUAUCGCCUUUGGAUGGGCCCGCGUUGCAUUAGCUAGUUGGUAGGGUAAACGCCUACCAAGCCGACGAUCCAUAGCUGGGCUGAGAGGAUGAUCAGCCACUCUGGGACUGAGACACGGCCCAGACUCCUACGGGAGGCAGCAGUGGGGAAUAUUGCACAAUGGGCGAAAGCCUGAUCUAGCAAUGCCGCGUGAGUGAUGAAGGCCUUAGGGUUGUAAAGCUCUUUUACCCGGGACGAUAAUGACAGUACCGGGAGAAUAAGCUCCGGCUAACUCCGUG